ensembl:lncRNA
GAUACUGAGGUCCUACACUACAGCAAUUACCACAACAUAUUAAAUCCAAGAGAGUGUUUUAAUGAACGCAGAACAGCUUUAUUCAAAAUCCAGAAGUUUUUAUUUUACAACACGCAUGCUUUAAUAUUUGAAUAACCUGCAAUUCCUGAAAUAAAAAAGAUCCAAUAACAUAAAUACAUUGCCAUAAAUUAGCAUUUGAAUUGAAAAAUAAAAUCUGUAAAAGUCGGUUUAGGAUUACACAAGAAACAAUUUUAGAUAUUAAAAUAUAACCAGGAUCAGAAAGGUUAUUACAGGUGCAUGGGAAGACUUAUACCCCACCCUAAUACUGCAUCAGAGAGGUCGUUAAGGAUGUAUUGGUAGUAUACACACCACCCUAAUACUGCAUCAGAGAGGUUGUUAAGGAUGUAUUGGUAGUAUACACACCACCCUAAUACUGCAUCAGAGAGGUUGUUAAGGAUGUAUUGGUAGUUUACACACCACCCUAAUACUGCAUCAGAGAGGUCGUUUAGGAUGUAUUAUUCACCAGCCUAAUGCUCCACCAGAGGUUAUUUCAGGUGCACUGGGAGCCCGUACACCACGGGCGCCGCCCCGACCAGGUGUCUGAGCUGCGUGGCCUGGCGGGCGGGGCCCAUGUAGUCCAGGAGGGGGGCCCCGGACCCUGCCGACAGCCAGGACUCCAGCAGGGCGGUGGUGAAGCGGUCGAUGUCCCGGUCCGUGACGUCCCACAGGGUCCCCAACACCAGGGGGCUGCAGGGAGGCGAGGGCCCAUGAGCAAGGCACCGCAGACGGGUCAGCAGGAAUCAUCAGGGUUAAGAUCGGAAUCAGCGGCCAUCAUUUCAACAGGCAGUAUGCCUCAAACACGUCAUAACAGUCCUAGUGAGUCCUGUGUUUCACCAGUCCUAGUGAGUCCUGUUUGUACAAGUCCUAGUGAGUCUGUGUGUACCAGUCCUAGUGAGUCCUGAGUGUACCAGUCCUAGUGAGUCCUGUGUAUCAGUCCUAGUGAGUCCUGUGUAUCAGUCCUAGUGAGUCCUGUGUCAGUCCUAGUGAGUCCUAGUGAGUCCUGUGUGUACCAGGCCUAGUGAGUCUGUGUGUACCAGUCCUAGUGAGUCCUGUCUGUACCAGUCCUAGUGAGUCCUGUGUGUACCAGUCCUAGUGAGUCCUGUCUGUACCAGUCCUAGUGAGUCUGUGUGUAUCAGUCCUAGUGAGUCCUGUGUAUCAGUCCUAGUGAGUCUGUGUGUAUCAGUCCUAGUGAGUCCUGUGUGUUAUCAGUCCUAGUGAGUCCUGGGUAUCACAGUCCUAGUGAGUCUGUGUGUAUCAGUCCUAGUGAGUCCUGUGUAUCAGUCCUAGUGAGUCUGUGUGUACCAGUCCUAGUGUGUCCUAGUGUACCAGUCCUAGUGAGUCUGUGUGUAUCAGUCCU